CUUAUUUCCAGUUGGCUGCUUUUCCCCUCUUGCUGCCAGAAGCAGGAGGAGAUUUUUCUCUGAGCUUCAAUUGAGAAACUGCUGGGGCUCGCUGAGGUAAAACUCAUAACAAACUAGGCCUCUUAGAGCUUUUAUCUUUCAAACUUGACUACAGUGAACCUCUAGCAAUUUGUCUAAUAUAGUUUAAGAUUUUCUACUUUAACAUGCUUACAGAGAGGUUUCUGCACUUGGACUUCUGUUCUAAUAUGCUGUAAUCUUCUUUGUUUGCCUGUGCUUUAUAAUGGAGAUAAAACAAAGAUGUUAAUUGUAAACUAAUACUAUUUGGCAGUUUGAGGAAGAGGCAUCUGAACAGAUGCCUGAAGAACAUGAACAAACCGGUCAUAUGAAGAUGUAGGAUCAGAAUGUUCAGGAAAAAGAAAAAGCAAGUGAAAACUUUUACAGUCAGAAUGAGCUUGGCUUAUUUGGAGAAUAGGCGAUGAAAUAAACAGAGACUUGCAACAAAUAGGAGAGCAGCAAUUGAAGAACCGUGGUUACACUGCAAAGGAUAUCAAUGCUCACAGCAUCUCAGAGCGCUAGUCUACCCUGCCACCCUUAUGGAUAAUAUAUUUCUGGACUUUGAAUCGAGUCAGUACCCAGAACUACAGGACUGUCAAAUGCUUCUGAAGAGUCUCCUUUACUUCAUCCUUCAGUUGCAAUACAUCAUUUUUGUUCUUUUGCUUCUGUUAUUUUAACAUAGUCUACAGAUAUUUUCAAGAGCAGUCUAAUCUAUUUUUUUAAUUGAACUUUAUAUUGACAAAAAAAGGUAUCUCAAAUUCAAAAACGAUGAUGUACAAUGGCUUCUGUCUUUGGUUUUAUAAUGCUUUCAUCAUCAUUAGAACAUUCAAAAUGUAACAUCGCUUGCAGUAUUUUAUUCAAUUUUUUUGUUUUUUUCCCCAAACAAAGUAUGAAAGUUAUAAUUCAAAAUAAGGCUUAUAUGGACAAUGAAUAAAAAAAUCAAGAUGUACCCCAUAAAUUAGUUUGGAUUAUUUUAGUAAGUAUGAUAAUAAAAUGAUAAAAUUUUUUCUUAACCAAAGUAGUCAAGAUAAAAGAGUUUCAUAAAACCACUGUCUAUAAUAAAAUAACAUCAGUACAUAAAAUAUAAAAUUUGUACAAUAAGAAGAUAACAUUGUGAACAAUUUAGGCUAAUAAGUUUUAAAAUUUGGAUUAAACGUACAAAUUUGUAACAAAUAUCACUAAUAAAAGAGGGUGUAAUAAUCAAUUUUAAAAGAUGCAACGUCCAAAAUCUAUUAAACUAAUUCAGCAUCGUUAAAUCAUUCCAACAGCAAAACAACAAAAAUGUCAUGCCCAGAUGACUUUAUUGGUAAAUCAUUUAAAUAUUUAAAAAGAAAAAAC
rnacentral:lncRNA from 1 species